rnacentral:lncRNA from 1 species
AGCUGUGCGACCUUGCCAUUGUACUUCUCCAAAGCUAGUGUCUUCACCGCUCUGCAAAAUAUGGCAAAGUCAACGGUAGCUCUCAUCACCACUGGAGAAGAGAGAGAUUCGUGUUGACAAGUCCUUGUUGUCCAGACUCACACGGAUACAGCUGUGGGGAAGGAAGGAAGGCUGCAAUGCUGCUGUUUCCAUGAACAUGCCUGGCACCCUCCAGGUGUCAGCAGGGCCAGGGGAGUGGAGAACUGGUCUCCCUCUCCGCUCCUCUACAGAACACAGUAGUGUGAGGAUUCUGUACAGGUUUUGUUGGGAAAGAAAGGAGUAAAAAGGGACUUGGGACGGAAAAUGUUUCCUCCUUUUCAAAUAAAUUGUGCAUCAGGAUGUAGAGAGAGUGGAAGAGGGAGUUCAGAGGCACCAGGUGACCAAACGUAAGAGAAAAGAACAGUCCAGGUGUGGUGGCUCACACCUGUAAUCCCAGCACUUUAGGAGGCUGAGGCGGGUGGUUCAUCUGAGGUCAGGAGUUCAAGACCAGCUUGGUCAACAUGGUGAAACCCCAUCUCUACAAAAAUACAGAAAUUAGUCAUACGUGGUGGUGGGUGCCUGUAAUCCCAGCUACUCGGGAGGCUGAGGUGGGGGAAUCGCUUGAACCCGGGAGGCGGAGGUUGCAGUGAGCCCAGUGCACUCCAGCCUGGAUGACAGAGCGAGACUCCGUCUCAAAAAAAAAAAAAAAAAAAAAAUCAGAUGACCCGCUGUGGAGCUGACUCUGUUCCCAAACCAGGAUUUUCAUCAAGCUAAAAAUCUAGGCUGGGCUGGGUGGCUCCAACCUGUAACCCCAGCACUUUGGGAGGCCGAGGUGGGCAGACUGUUUGAGCUUGGG